rnacentral:lncRNA from 1 species
CUCUUUGCAGUGGGACAGCUGAAGAGGUAUAAUUUAACAGCUUUCAGAAGCCCGUCACUGGAGUGAUUGAGGUGGACAGAAGGCAGGGACAUGACCACGGUCCUUAAAAGACACAAACAGGAUUCUGACAGGAAGCCAUAGAAAUGCAAGCCAACACUGCCAGCUCUGGAAAUAAAUAAAUAAUGACCCAGGUUCUAUGCUCCUCAAUGGGGGCAGAAGCCUGCGGGGCAAGAAAACCACAGAGGAGGAGGGACCUGCCUGCAACUUGUCCCCAGGCUUGGACAAGUGGUGCUCAAACUCCAAGGACUUCACAAGCUUCAGGCUGCAGUCACCUCCAAAGGGAGUGGCCCCCUGCUCUGGCUGGUCAAACGGAACCAAGUCCGUCUUCCUGAGAGGUUUGGUCCCCUUCAACCAGCUACAGCAGGGCUGGCAAAGCUCAAUAUUUGGAGAAAGAGAAGAGAAGAGAAAAUAGCUGCUACAGCCUUGCUUAUGAAAAGUAAUGCUGGUUUUGCCAUCAUAGC